rnacentral:rRNA from 1 species
ACGCGAAUUGACGGUACUCUGGGAAUAAGCAUCGGCUAACUCCGUGCCAGCAGCCGCGGUAAUACGGAGGAUGCGAGCGUUAUCCGGAUUUAUUGGGUUUAAAGGGUGCGUAGGCGGAUAGAUAAGUCAGUGGUGAAAUUCUGCAGCUUAACUGUAGACUUGCCGUUGAUACUGUCAGUCUUGAGUAUGGUCAAGGCAGGCGGAAUGUGUAAUGUAGCGGUGAAAUGCUUAGAUAUUACACAGAACACUGAUUGCGAAGGCAGCUUGCUGGGCCAUUACUGACGCUGAUGCACGAAAGCGUGGGGAUCGAACAGGAUUAGAUACCCUGGUAGUCCACGCCGUAAACGAUGAUCACUCGCUGUUGGCGAUACACAGUCAGCGGCUAAGCAAAAGCAUUAAGUGAUCCACCUGGGGAGUACGGCCGCAAGGCUGAAACUCAAAGGAAUUGACGGGGGCCCGCACAAGCGGAGGAACAUGUGGUUUAAUUCGAUGAUACGCGAGGAACCUUACCUGGGCUUAAAUGUAGAGUGCAUUGGUGAGAAAUCAUCAUUUUCUUCGGAACUCUCUGCAAGGUGCUGCAUGGUUGUCGUCAGCUCGUGCCGUGAGGUGUCGGGUUAAGUCCCAUAACGAGCGCAACCCUUAUCGUUAGUUGCCAGCGGGUAAUGCCGGGGACUCUAGCGAAACUGCCGGUGUAAACCGAGAGGAAGGUGGGGAUGACGUCAAAUCAGCACGGCCCUUAUGUCCAGGGCUACACACGUGUUACAAUGGCCGGUACAGAGGGCAGCUACCUGGAGACAGGAUGCGAAUCUCGAAAGCCGGUCUCAGUUCGGAUCGGAGUCUGCAACUCGACUCCGUGAAGCUGGAUUCGCUAGUAAUCGCGCAUCAGCCAUGGCGCGGUGAAUACGUUCCCGGGCCUUGCACACACCGCCCGU